ensembl:lncRNA uncharacterized LOC107561855
UGUGUGUGUGUGCAUGUUUAUUUAACUAUACUUUUUUUUUUUAAGAUACAAAUUUGCAUUAAAAAGCUGGUCAUCAUUGUGCUUGUGAGAAAAAGAUGGAUCCGUCUGCCGGUAUACACAUGUCCGCUGUUCCCCAGAACAGUGAUGUCAUCCAUGUCUCUGUCGGGAACCCCAUUAUAACCAUGUAUCAGCCACAACCGCAAACUCCAAACAUCGCACAAAUCAUCGCACAGCACAUGGUACCUCAAGAAGUCUCCUGUCACGCUGUACCGCACAUGAUCCCAUCGCUAUAUAUAUAUAUAUGUGUGUGUGUGCAUGUUUAUUUAACUAUACUUUUUUUUUUAAGAUACAAAUUUGCAUUAAAAAGCUGGUCAUCAUUGUGCUUGUGAGAAAAAGAUGGAUCCGUCUGCCGGUAUACACAUGUCCGCUGUUCCCCAGAACAGUGAUGUCAUCCAUGUCUCUGUCGGGAACCCCAUUAUAACCAUGUAUCAGCCACAACCACAAACUCCAAACAUCGCACAAAUCAUCGCACAGCACAUGGUACCUCAAGAAGUCUCCUGUCACGCUGUACCGCACAUGAUCCCAUCGCACAUCCAGAUGCCAACUCACAUCCAGACUCAGUCACACAUCCAGCCUGCUCCACAUCUGCAGACUCUACCGCAAGGUCAUGUGGAAGCACAGGCUCAUAUUCAGACCCAAGACCACUUAUCAACACAAGGUCCAUCAGAAGGCCAGAGUGCCGCGCCGUCUCAAGAUGGUGCAGUGAACUCACUGCAGGUCCCUUUUGCAGAGGUAGCCUCCCUGCUGGACCCUAACAUGAAGAGCUCAAAGGCCCGCAAGUACCAGAUCCAUUACGAAGAGGUGAAGAGGAGAUUGGAACCGCCUGAAAAGAUGUCUCUCCGAUCUCUGGCUGCCUAUACGAGAGUGAGUCGAGGUCCAGCUAGUAAGAAAACACUCUUGGAGUCCCUAAAUGUCUUUGGACUGUCACCAAGCACCAAUACAGCAGUGUCCAGUUCCUUUUCUAAACUAACUGAAGGUGACACAGCUGCUCUUUGCAAAGACAUGAAGGAUUUUGCACUGCAAUAUGUUGAUUAUGAGAAUAUGGCGAAACAGUUGCUACCUGAAACAAACCAAGUACAGCACUGGUCAAAAAUCAUUGAAACAAGGAACUAUCUAGAGGAGAUGCGGAAGACUUUUAAUGACCCUGUGAAUACACGUUUGUUCUCCAAUGUUACACAUGGUCUUGGUAACGGCAUGAUGGACGUGGCUCUCGAUAUCGUAGAUAACGUCAUCGACCGACAAAUCCGAAUCCUCUCAGGGAACACUGACCCCAAACCCGAACCUCCAGUGAGAAGAAUAAGGAAACGCAACCGCAAGCCCAAAGCCGCCACGGAAGACGGCAAACCUAAAGAAAAGGGCAGAAGGGGACAGAAGAAAGGAAAACAGAUGCGGCUGGAUUCUGUUGUUCCUGAAGUUCAGCAGUCCACAGAGAUGGAAAGCAGCGUGUUAACACUAGUCUCUGUAGGAUACGAAACCAUUUCCAGUGGACUUAACGCCACCAAUGCAGGUCUUGCAUAACAUCACGUGCCUGAAAGGUGCUGAGAGACACUGAAUUCUGAGUGCAAAAAGUUUUUCAUAGAAAAUUAUAGUUUUAUAAACAUUAGACUUCUCUCCUUCUCUCAAGACUGAAUAUAUUUAGUUUUUUGUUUUCCUCCCAAACUGGUUGAUCAAGAAAAUAAUGUGGCUCUGGGAAGCUGUUUGACAGAGAUGUUUUGAUUUAUACUUUACCAAUCAUGUGUCGCUCUCAAUCUUUCGUUUUGUCAUUUGUGGUAAAGAACAAAUGUACACCGACAGCGUAUGCUAUUAAAGUAGCACGCAAGCAUUUUUUUUCAAGCACUAUGUUGUACUCUCAUGAAAUGAAUCACAAUAUCAGUUUCUGUUAGUCUCAUUUUAGAAUGUUCUCUCUGAAGUGUUAUUUGAUUCUGUUUUACUUAAUCAUAGAAACCCCAAGCAAUUUAGUUUGAGUAAGAACAUAUCUUCUCUUGAUUUUUCGGACUAUUUAUUUCCUUUUUCUGUUUGUGUCUGAUAUGUAGUGUAUGUGAAUGACUGUAGCCUGUACUCUGUACGUUUUGCAGAUUGCUCGUCAUAUGCUUGUAUUAAAAG